rnacentral:rRNA from 1 species
GGCGGCAGGCCUAACACAUGCAAGUCGAGCGGAUGAGAGGAGCUUGCUCCUUGAUUCGGCGGACGGGUGAGUAAUGCAUAGGAAUCUGCCCAUGUAGUGGGGGAUAACUUGGGGAAACUCAAGCUAAUACCGCAUAAUUCCUACGGGAGAAAGAGGGCCUAUACUUGUAAGCUCUUGCUAUUGGAUGAGCCUAUGUCGGAUUAGUUAGUUGGUGAGGUAAAGGCCUACCAAGACUACGAUGGUUAGCUGGUCUGAGAGGAUGAUCAGCCACACUGGAACUGACACACGGUCCAGACUCCUACGGGAGGCAGCAGUGAGGAAUUUUGCGCAAUGGGGGAAACCCUGACGCAGCAACGCCGCGUGUGUGAAGAAGGCCUGCGGGUUGUAAAGCACUUUCAAUUGGGAAGAAAGAUUUAGAGUUAAUACCUCUUAAUAUUGACGUUACCAAUAGAAGAAGCACCGGCUAACUCUGUGCCAGCAGCCGCGGUAAUACAGAGGGUGCGAGCGUUAAUCGGAAUUACUGGGCGUAAAGAGUACGUAGGUGGUUUGCUAAGCCAGAUGUGAAAGCCCCGGGCUCAACCUGGGAACUGCAUUUGGAACUGGCAGGCUAGAGUACGGUAGAGGGUGGUAGAAUUUCCUGUGUAGCGGUGAAAUGCGUAGAUAUAGGAAGGAAUACCAGUGGCGAAGGCGGCCACCUGGACUGAUACUGACGCUGAGGUGCGAAAGCGUGGGGAGCGAACAGGAUUAGAUACCCUGGUAGUCCACGCCGUAAACGAUGUCAACUAGCCGUAGGGAUCCUUGAGGUCUUUGUGGCGCAGCUAACGCAAUAAGUUGACCGCCUGGGGAGUACGGCCGCAAGGUUAAAAAUAAAAUGCCUUGACGGGGGCCCGCACAAGCGGUGGAGCAUGUGGUUUAAUUCGAUGCAACGCGAAGAACCUUACCCGGUCUUGACAUCCUGCGAACUUUCUAGAGAUAGGAGGGUGCCUUCGGGAACCGAGAGACAGGUGCUGCAUGGCUGUCGUCAGCUCGUGUCGUGAGAUGUUGGGUUAAGUCCCGCAACGAGCGCAACCCUUGUCCCUAGUUGCCAGCGAUUCGGUCGGGAACUCUAGAGAGACUGCCGGUGACAAACCGGAGGAAGGUGGGGACGAUGUCAAGUCAUCAUGGCCCUUACGGCCAGGGCUACACACGUGCUACAAUGGGUGAGUACAAGGGUUGCCAACCCGCGAGGGGGAGCAAAUCUCACAAAACUACUCGUAGUCCGGAUUGGAGUCUGCAACUCGACUCCAUGAAGUCGGAAUCGCUAGUAAUCGCGAAUCAGCAUGUCGCGGUGAAUACGUUCCCGGGCCUUGUACACACCGCCCGUCACACCAUGGGAGUGGGUUGUACCAGAAGUCGGUAGUCUAACCUUUGGGAGGACGCUUACCACGGUAUGGUUCAUGACUGGGGUGAAGUCGUAACAA